AUAAAUAAAUAAACUUUAAAAAAAGAAAGAAACUCAGAAAAAUCAUUAGACUGAGGGACAGCCAACCAAAACUGUGACUGGCUCAUGAGACAAAUAACUUCAAUAAACCACUUCCCUCUCUGGGCCUCAGCUUCUGGGCUGGAAGGGUUGGACAGGAACAAUUCUUCAUUAGGGACUCUUCUAGUGCUAACAUUCUCCAUCUGAGUCCAAGUUUGUUCCACAGUGGAUUAAAAUAAAUACAUGAGCAUACAUGUUUACACAACCCCAGAGGACUUUGAAAUUCACAUGGAAUGUCAGUGCUUACACCAGGAGGCAAAGUUGGGUUUCCUUAGAGUCGCUCAUUCAUUCUUUCAUUCCUCCAUCCAUCUAUUCAUCCGUCAAAUGUUUAUUGAGCACCACUAUGCGCAAAACAUGGUUUUAGGUGCUAGGCUUUCUUUCUAAAACCAGGAUCUGAUUAUGUCACAGCCCUGCUUAGAUACUUUCAAUGACUUCCCGUUGCCAAGUACAAACUCCAACUCACACAUACCAAGUAACUGCCCACCUGCAUGCUUUUGUUUAUGCAGUUUCCCCUCUCUGGAUUGCCCCUCCUAGUGAUCCAAAUGCUUGUGAAAUGUCCCCUGAUCUUCAAAGGUGCCAGCAAAGCUGCCUCGGUGCUGAUCCUUUCCCCAGGCUGGCAUCAUGCUCUCUCCUCUUUGCUCACACAACACUUUGUACCACCUCUGUUAUAGCACUUGUUACUUUUUACUUUAAUUCAUUGUUUGUGUGCCUUUCUCUUCUGCUGGAUUUUUAAUUCCAGGAGGCAGGAACAGUGUUUUGCUCCUUUGUAAUUUGAGCACCUAGCAUACUGUUUGGCACAGUGGAUGUAAUUAAGUCUUUGAUGAGUUUGCUUAUUGAGACUUUGGAGGUGGUUGAGAAUGGUGAUAGGAAUACUAAUGACAAUGAUAGUAACUCUCUUAUAUAAUGUAUUCCUCACAUGCCAACUCCGAGCCAAGAGCUUUAGAUCUGUGACCAAUUUAGUUUUCAUCUCUGCAACGCCCUGUGAGGUCAAUGACAGAGGACACUGUUAGGGGCACUGCAUCUCUGGAGUCAGAGAGGCCAAGGGUAUGAGGGUCACCUCCAUGAGUGCCUGGCACAGUCCUGCACUUUGGGCCCUGUGUGUGGGGGCUUCGCUAAGGAGGCAACUGGGGCUAAAUGCCCUCUGUGUUUGCCAAACUAAGCUCUCUGGAUCGGGGUUGCAUCUGCCCAGAGGAAGGGGGGCUCCUUUUUCAAAUGUGGAGAAAAGACACCUAUGGGCAGGAACUGACCUCGUCUGGUUCCAUCUCCAGUGGCCUUGCACAAGUUCCUUAAUUCAGCUUUUUGCCUUGAUUCCUCAUUUGUAGAAUGGGGUUACAGCACCCCAACCUCAGAGGGUGCUUGCUAGGAUGAGGUAGGAUAACACAUGUGAUAUGCUGGCACCUGUCUGACAUUUGUAUUCAAUAAAUGCUAGUUAUUAUCACUAUUAUUAGUGGUAAUAGCCCUAUUUUCCAACCAACAGGAUCUCGAGAGAAAAUAGUUGGCAGAGGGAAGAACAUAAUGGCAUUCCUCCAUUUAGGGGCAUCAGAAGGAACCAGGAGAGAGAAGAGUUGAAAAUGUUGGACAAGAGUGAGUUAGAAGAGAGGCUGGUCAGGUGUCAAGUGCUUUCGAGAGAUUAAGCGGGAAGAGGCAGAGAAAAAUUCCCCGGAGUUGACAGUUAGAGGUCAUUAGUGACCUUUGCAUGAAAGUAUCAGGAUAACAGCAAGAGAGGAAGCCAGAUUGCUGCAGGUUAAGGCAUCAAUGACCGAUAAGGUAGAAAUAGUAACUCUGGCCUAUUCACCAGAAAUCAGGUCGUGAAGGGUUGGAGACAUGGGUCAGUUGUCUUAGUGAGAUACAGGAUGGAUAAACAGUCCUCUCUUACAAACAUUAUCUAGGGAAAGAACCAUCCCCUUCAAAGGGCCAAAUGAAUGGGGCUUUCAAAGAACAUUGGCCCUAAGUCUAUUUGGAGAAUUUGGUAAUCUGUCCAGACUUCUGGGAUGACAAGGAGGAUGACUUGCUUCAACUACCCAGCUUCUAGGUGGGACUCUCUUUUUUUUUAAGGAGAGAGGAGGGUUCAAUGCAUUGGGGGGGGGGGGUGCAGAGGACAGUCAACAAGAUGUAGGUGCAAAGCAGAUGAGGGAAUGGAAUCAAGCCCCUGGGUUGAUGGGUCCAUCCUCUAGGGUGGUGCAGAUGGGGAAAGCAAGGGUAAAGACACAUAGACAAGUCAAGGAUGUAACAGAAGGAAGUUAAGGAACUCUCUGGAUGGCCUGUCUUUCUUGGAACAAAAAGAGGCCAAGUCCUCUGAGAAAGUGAUGAGUAUAAUGUGAAAGGCAGUGCAUCAGUCAGGAUAGAUUAAAACUGUAACAAACCAUCCCUCAGUUUUAGUGGCUUAGGAGAGGCCUCUGUUUUGUGCAGUGAUCAGGAAAUUAGUCUCCAUACGUUUUAUGGCUUUCCUCAUUUUAUGGCUCUGCAGGAUCUCUGAGUCCCGUUCUGGACCUUCUGCAUCUGCUGGCAAACACAAGACAAAAGACAGUGGAGGAUUGUGGAGAAGGCUUCAUAAGCCAUUCUUGGAAGUGUUGCACAUCGCUUUUGCCCACAUUCCAUUGACUUAACCUCAAUCAUAUGGCCACUCUUAACUGCAAGGGAGGCUGGGAAAUAUCAAAUGGUGUGCACAAUACUGUAUUGUCUGUACUCUCAGUGCCUAGCACCCUUUCUAGAAUAGGCUGGAUGCUCAGUAAGCACCACUGAAUAAAGGCAGAGAUGAACUUUAUCUCAUUUGCUUGCCAUCACUUUUCUACCUGUGCCUUGCUUGAGGUUCAAAGAUAAUAGAGACCCAAUUUCCUAAAUAUGAGCUAAAGGUUGGGCUUGUACUUGGAGUGGUUCCUCCUGUCAUGCUGAUGUGUUUCAGGGAUCCAUUCAUACUCAGCCCCAGGAUGUUUGCUACUGGGGGUUAGUCCUGAGGUAUGUGGUUAAUGAACCUAGUGGAGUGGUGCUGACUUAUUCUCAGAGAGAUAAAGAUCAGACUCUUUCUUCCAAAGCCCAGUGUUAUAGAAACUUGAGUUAAUCAGCUAGAAAAAUACAUUAACUAACCCCUGAGCUGUAAUUUCCAAUCCAAAUAUGAGCUAACCAGUCCAAGAUUUUGCUAACCAGAUUUCAGCUGAGCAAUCCAGCGCCUUUCUAAACUAGCCAGUCCCAAGAUGUGUAGACAGGUCACUAAGAUAACCAACCUCCAGUUAAGCUAACUAGUUCCAAAUCAAAGUAGUUGUCCUGAAGUUACUAUUGUCCUGAAGAGAAUAUUUAAAAGCCAGGACUGGGAUUAAUCUUCUCCAUGACCUUUAUAAUGGCCCCUUUUAUGGAUAACAUGAGCUCUAGAAAGGGAAGGAAAGCUGGUGAUCUGAGUCAUAACUUCCCUAAAGGGCAAAUAAAGGGCUCCUUAUCAAGCUGGCAAAGCUGCCUGCAAGUAGAGCAUGACAUGGAACCAUGUCGGGCAGGGAAUGCCAGGGAUAUUUUUAUAAACGACUCCAGAGAUAUCAACAAUGUGGGGCUGGCGCAGAGAUUCCCAUAUUUGCAGAUGAUAUUCCAUUAACAAGGGUGCCCGCAAAUGGGAGUGAGUGCCAACAAGCCCAAGAAGGAAGAAGGAAGCAGAGGCAGAUGGUUAUAAAACAAGUCAGUGUUUCAGACAGGGGGAGACACAAAAGUUAGGCCAACAUCUCUGAGUCAGCCAGCUGGGCUGGCUGGGUAGCUGGGUGCUGGGUCGAUGUGAAGGGGAAUAGGUGCCCAGUGCCGGAAGCCUUGCCCAGACUAAAGGGACACCAAGGAUGAGGGCUCUGAUGGUAAAGAGAUGGGCAUCCCCUUUAAAGGGCCAGAUCAACAGAGCCCUUAGGGAACAUGGACCCUUCUCCCCUGUUGAACCCUAAAUCUGUCCAGAGAAUAUGGCCAUCUCUCCAGACCACUGGGAUGGCAAAGAGGAGGAUUUGCCUCAACUAUCCAUCUCCAGACAGGUCUUUGCUGAACUGCUCAUGAUAAAGUCAUUCAUUUCAAAGCAAUUUUGUGGUGUCCUGCCUGGAAAGAGGCCAAUCUUUGGAGUCAGUGAAUUCUAAUCCCCCAAUUACCUUCUGAUAACUAUGUAGCCUUGGGCAAUUCAUCCAGCCUCUCUGGACCUCACUUUUCUCUUCCAUAAACUACUAAUGUAAUUCUAUUUUGCAGGUUAGUGAGGAUUUAAUGAGAUUGUGCAUGAAAACAGCCUAAUCCACUGCCUAGAAGCGGUCACACCCCCUUUCUGAGGGGUCCUGAGAGACUGAAGAUCCAUCCAAGCUCCAGAGCUCCAUCCAGGAUUAGGUGACGUUGGAUGAAAUGGAGGAUGCAUGGUGUUUGUGUGGAUUUUAGAGUAAGCGUUCUGGUCUUGGCCCAACUGCAAUUGUAGUUACAGUGACAACAGUCCUUCUGACAUUUCCUGAGGCCACCUGCACCUGCACUCCAGCUGGCUGACUUCACUACCUCCUCCUUAAUUGUUUCCGAUUGGAGAAGCAAUUGGAUCACAUACUUGAAGUGACCAGUGAAUAAAGGGUAGUAUGACUCAAGGUGCUCACACUUGAAGCUGACGAGGAGCAAAGCUGUCAUAUCAUGUUUCUCAUGUAAAUAAGGACGUUGGAUAAAUAUCACUGAACUCUUUUCUAAUACACCAUGUGCCGACUUGUGGAGCUUCUGCAGCAAAGCCAGGAAGCCCUGAACGUGCAUCGUUUCGAUACUUGCUGUUUAUUACUAAUAAGCAUUGUCAUUUACUGGACACCGAUGUUAGACGUAAUGACGGAGUGUGUACCCUUCUGCACUCUGCAUGUCCCACACAACAGAUAAUAGCAUCGAUGGAAGCCUUGCUAUGUGCCUGCUAUGUGCCGAGUACUGCCUGCCGCUGUUCGCUGUCCCUCAGCCCACCUGACAUUCUCACCUGUCAAUCAUCAACCACCACUACAUAAACGUGUUUAAGUCCCUGAGCAUUUCUUUGGCAUCACAUUGUGGGAAAACAGCUGGAUGAAGUUUCACCCAGUUUAAAGGCUAUUUGAGGAUGAUCUUACUUCACAUGAGCUACAUGACAUGGAAUUUUCACCAUGGGAAGCCUCAGGUGCCCUAUCUUUGUGAGUCAGCCUGAACCAUGGCUUUGUUACAAGGGGAUCUCAGAAGCAGGAAAGUCCAUCCGAGGUCUGAAGUUGAAAGAUCCAAUAAGGUGAGUGCUGUAGGUUUGACAGGUAGUAUUUCUCCCAUUUUUUAAAUGAUGAUAUUCAAGCCCAGGGAGACUAAGUAACUUGCUCACUGUCUUCCAGGCUGCAAGGCCUAAAGCCAAUAAUGACAAAUAAAUCUCUGGUGGUAGGUACUCUGUAGACAUUGUUAUCAGCAUCUUUUUUUUUCUUUCUAGUUUGAGAUAUCAUUAAUAUGUAACAUUGUAUUAAUCCAAGGCAUACAAAGUAAUUAUUUGAAAUCUCUCUAUAUUGUGAAAUGAUGACCACAAUAAGUUCGAUCACCUCACAUAGUUACAAUUUAUUUUUCCUUGUGACGAGAACUUUUAAGAUAUACU